UCUGAAUCUAUUCCCUCAACUACAAAUCACCUCCCCAUUCUUCUCUCUCCGGACUCUUAGAUUGUUGUCUGUGAUAUGGCGCAGAAUGAUUGCCAUGGAAUCCUACAGAAACAUUCGCGGAUUACCCAGCAUCACACAAAGGAGCAGUUUGGAGUUAGGGUUGAGCAGCAAGCACGUCGACAGCGGAUAAAAUCUCCGUCGUCGGCAGAGUUGAACUCGCCGUUGAUGUUUGAGCAGCAGUCAAAAAGCAGCGAGAGAGAGAGAGGUACAAGAGGGAGGAAUCAGUCGAAUUGGGCCUCUGGUGGGCCUGGAAUGCAAGCGAUAUUCUUGGGCUCUAACCCAAGAUCUUGUGGGACUGGGGUUUUUCUUCCCAGAAGAGGAGGUACCGAUUUCCAAUUCAGCAAUUAGCCAGCUUUCUCUCCCGUUUUAUUACCUUCUCGAGUGGUUCAAGCCCUCAACCUUAACGUGCACGAGCUUGGGCAACAGAUUAAGUCCCAACCAGAUCAAAAUAAAAAUAUUGUGAGAAAAAAUGAUGAAAAGUUGGAUAAGAAGGAGAAGGUGGAUGAUGCAAUUUGUCUUUCACCAGAGAUUUUUCUCCCUAAAGAAUGGACGUAUUAAAAUUCAAGAAGAAUAACCGGACGAUUUCAAAUACCAAAAAUUAUUUCGUCAGAUAUAGCAUGUAAAAAGAAAAAUUGCACCUAUUCAUAAGCUCCACAUUUGUUGUCUUCCUGUUGUUGAUAUUUAUUCAUAUGAUGUAAUUUAAAUAAUAUCAGCUACGUGAAGUCUGAAUUAAUAAUUAUUUCAUCAAUUUGUGAUAUAAAAGUAUUUUAU